CAGGCGCUGGGUGAAAGAGAACAGCGCAGCCGGCAGUGGAUUACCUCCCUCGCCGAAGACGAUAGAGUGAACACUGCACCUCCUCCCCUUCCCGGUGCGACGGGAUCCGGACGCCUCCUUCACCAGCUGUGAGGGGGGAGAGAGAGACAGAGGCCAACGCAGUUUUGUUUAGAUCUAGUGAAGAGGGUGAGAGACUAUGAAUAUAGCAAACCCUAGCAAAGGAACUGAGCCUCCAGCGUGUAUAUAUAUUAUGAUAACACCCUUAAGAGUCUUAUUCUACAAACAAAUCUCUUAUUCUGCUAACACUUCAUCACUGUCCGGCGUACAGAAAAACAAAAACGAACUUCCCCCACCCCUAUCCAACCUUCUUCUCUCUCCUCCCAACUCCCGCACCACCCCGAUCCCCAGUUCCCUCACCUUCUUCUCUCUCCCACUCACGCCUCGCACCGCAUCGCACCGACCCCCUAAUCCUCCUCACCCUCUUUCACCGUCGAUGCCAGCCGCCAGCUCUGUGCAGACCGGCCACCCGCCACCGACCGGCCUCCCCCUCGCGCACCUACCCCCCCUAACAUCCCGCAGCGCCCCGCCCCACCGCGCCCCGACUCCCUCCCUGACCCGCCGUCGCCCUCGACGCCAGCCAGCAUGGCCGCCUCCUUCCCCCACCGCCCCAGCCCCGGAUCCGGCGAGGAUCCACCAGGUGGUGCCUCACCUUCACCGUCGGGAUGUCUCUGGAUCUUACGGGAGGGGAUCCGCGCGCGCCCAUCCUCUUACCCCCCCAUUCUCCCGCUUUGAUUCCGGCGUGGAUCCGUGACUUCUCCGCCCCCCAGGUGGACUCAAGGUCGAGCCCCGUCCUGCGACGCCCCGCUGCCGUGGCGAGACCCAUCCGGCCGCCGCAACGCUGCCCCACCUCCUCCCCUUCUUCGCCCAGAUCCAAAAGGGCACAUGGUGCAGCCCCCGUCUCCUCUGCCCUGGAUCCAUGGAGCCCGUUGUGUCACGAGAGGCCCCCUCUCCUCUGUCGCAAGCUCGGGCCAACCAUUACUCAGCCACACGCCGGUGCCUUCCUCCUCCAAGGACCCGAUGCCGGCGCCAGGAGGCACCGGCGCGCGAGGGGCAGUAGUGUGCCUGUGCUCAACCUCCACAAAAACGCAAGAUACCAGCGAUCCCAGGAGCGCGCGAUGAUGUUCAACGGCGGCUAGGACGCCCAUGCAGUUCAGAAAGGGAUAAGUUGUUUUUUUGUUGGAUUUUGGAUGGAGAUCUGAUGCCUCGUGCGGUCCAACUGUAGUGCGCAUCGCCGGUGAGGCUGCAGCUCGUGCAGUGCAGAUCAGUGCGGCGUGCGGUUUCCGUGUGCAGUGCGUUUUGCUUUUUUGCUUUUCCUUUUGGAUUUUGGAUGUGCAGAACAGUUGCAGCUCAUUUUGAUUUUUUUGAAGCUCACUAAUUUUGUUUUGCAGUUCACCCAUCCUCCUACCCGCCUCUCCUAGCCGCCAGUGUGUGGGACGACGCUGGAUGGGGGCCGGCGCAUCCGUGCGGGCGUGCAGUUUGCCGGCGUGGCACGUGUGGUACACUGGUUCCGGUUAUGCUGUUCACCGGCGUACUCCCCUAUCCAACAGAGAGUGACAGUUCCGUUUCGCGAUGAUGUCUUUGUUUGCAGUUCUCUAGAUGUGUGUUGCAGUGCACUGAAUAAAAGGUUUUGUAUGGACAUGUUUGCUACAGUUUGUCACUCGGACGGGGAUCUCACAUGCAGUACACUUGGGUGGCGUUGGGAUUCCAGGAUUUGCAGAAAAAUGUGGUUCGAGUGGGCGGGCGGGCGUGCAGCUCACUAGGCUCUACCUCGCAGCUCGUUUGGCUCUGGCUGGGUCAAUGGAACUGGACCCAGAACCUAGGAAUUUGAUUCCAUUUUUGUUUGAGGAGUUUUUAUGUAAACUUGGACAAUAAAUUUGUGUAACUAUAAAAAAGAACAUUGCAGUUCUCUCGA